AGAGCUGGCUUCCUAGCAUCAGGGCAGUCUGGCUUAGGAGGCCCCUGCUACAGAAGUAGUGGCAUCUGUGGCCAGCUUGGGGAGCUCGCAAGGAUGCCUGGCUUGGAAGACAAUCUCAGUUGGGCAUGGUUUCAUCUGGGAAGGCCACAGACACAUCUUCCACUGUGAUGCUGUCCACGAUGGAGGGACCCCUGGGGCAGGGACAUUGUCCUCUCUGUGGAGAAGGUCAACCACCAGGCAUCAGCUGCAGGAGCCACUAUCACUCCUUUGCUGGUCAAGACUGCAGGGGCACACAGAACUUCCCAGCCCACCCUUUGGGCCCUGGAGUCAGCAGGUCCCUGGAGAGACCCAAGGAAAGAGGACCGGAGCAAGGAACAAGCACCUUAACCACACUACAUCAGUCGAUGAGACUCUUUUAAAGACUUCCCUCCAGAAAGAAUGGGACUGCUUCAGAUUCUGGGCAUUCAUGGGCACUCAGUAUCCAGGGAUAAGAAGGAUCAAGACUCAGAGCAGCUAACAGAUUCCACUUUUGGGGUUCCCAAGCAGCUUUGUUCUCUUAGGUCUCAUCUGGGGGGUAAAUUGAGGCAAGAGAAAUUAUUUGGUCUUGGCAGGGGUAAAGAGAAAUUUCCUCUUUAAUACAGCAGCCAAGUGGUCAGAGCAGAGAUUAGAAUUUACAGCCUAGAGCGGCAAGGUCAAGAGGUACUAAGCUCCCUGUCUCCUCCCCGUCUCACUCCGGACCAUUGAUCUGUCCUUCUAUGUUACCUCCUCAACUCUUCUUCCAACACCAGAAUUUUCCUGGCUCAUUACUGUGGAUGGGGGUGAAAAAGUAGAAAAAACAGAGCCCUUCAAACUCAGUUUAAGUCUCCUCUCUCCUUGGCCACCGGGCUUGGUUGUUCUGCCUCUUCCUAUCUGAGCCAUCAGUUUUACAUGUAUCAUGCAGGUCUCAAAUGUCAGGUAGAGCAGGGACUAUUUAAUCUUUAGGCCUCUCAGGCUGUGGUCACCUCUCAGUAGGUGCCUCAGGGUCUGAGAGGACAAAUUCCUUCCAAUGCAGUGGGCAGACCUUAGACACCAGCAGUGAACAAGUCUCAGUCUUAGGGCUGGGGAUUAUAGGGACACCCCAGAGAGUGUCCCUGCCCUCGAACUUACCAUCUGAUAGCAAACGGUGAUCACCUCUUUCUACCUAGCCCCUGAUGCCCAAAUCUCCUCCCAGGCGGCUACUGUUCAGCUUCUGCUCACGUCAGGAGACAGCCCGUUCCACUGACGUGUAGCUUUGAGCUGCAAUCUGCUCCCUCUAUCUUUUACCCUUUGUUCCCGGUUUUUUCCCCCCCAUAGACUAAUGUCCUGCUCCUUAUCCUAUGACAGAUCAAACUGACAAGUUCAAGCCAGUGGCAAGGACAAUAAGAGGAAGGGGAACCCUGCUGGGGACUCAGGGGAGACUUCACAGGGAACGUGAGAUCUGCGAGGCAUGUGAAGAACCAGUGUUCCUUCCUCUCAUUAUUCACAGCAGGGAGCCGGGAGAAUUCUGAUGUCCUUUUGGGACAGGAAAUGGAGGGAAGGAGGGAACAUAGCUGGACAAUAAAAGAACCCUAAGCAUGUUGAGGGAGAGCAGUGAGGUCUUAAUUCUGUUCUUGGCCUUACCAGCAUGAUAGAAAGUAGCAGCAUAGGCCGGGCGUGGUGGCUCAUGCCUGUAAUCCUAGCAUUUUGGGAGGCCAAGGCGGGUGGAUCACGAGGUCAGGAGUUCAAGACCAGCCUGGCCAAGAUGGUGAAACCCUGUCUCUACUAAAAAUACAAAAAUUAGCCGGGCAUGGUGGUGGGCACUGUAAUCCCAGCUACUUGGGAGGCUGAGGCAGGGAAUUGCUUGAACUCGGGAGGAGGAGGUUGCAGUGAGCCGAGAUCACACCACUGCACUCCAGUCUGGGUGACAGAGCGAGACUCUGCCUCAAAAAAAAAAAAAGUAGCAACAUAGGUACUGUGUGGGUUCUAAACUUUGCUUUCCCCUGACCAGCUGGGCUGAAGAAGAGUCUCUAUUUCCAACACAUCCCCUGCCAAACAAAAAAGAAAAAAAAAGCCUCAGUUUACACUCCAGUCCUAUGAGCCCUGAGAAAAGAAGUCAUGUUGAAGCCACUAUAGGAACCCCCAUAUUUGCAUCUUUUGUUAUUCCAGGAUCCAGUGUGACUUACCUCU